rnacentral:misc_RNA from 1 species
CGGAGGUGACACCAUAACAUAUCCGUCGGGCGGGAGACCUCACCAUCAUCCUCGCACAUUUCACCAUAUUUCUCCUCGUUUCGGGCAAGAUUCGUGGUGCUGCGAGUGACAGACCCGGCGGGUGGUACAUCUGUGAUGUAGUUUGUGCUGAGAAGGAAGAAGGUAAACAGAGAGAUUUGGAAGGCGGGGGCGAGGACAGCGAUGGGGUAAAGAGGCCGGAAAGAGGAAGUCACCAGGACAGGAAACAAGAGGAGGGAGAAGAGGGGGGACUAGGUGCAGGAUCAGGAGCUCCUCAACGUGACCCUCUCCCCCACACUCUCACCCACACUCUCCCCCACACUCUCACCUACCGCCAGCAUGUCAGACUCAGAGGACGAGGCUGUGGAGCGCCAGGUGAAGCUGGUGAUGGUGGGAGCGCCCCAGGUGGGGAAGACCUCCCUGGCUGUAAGGUACACCCAGGAUAUGUUCAACAAGACCUACCAGGCAUCUAUGGGGGUGGACUUUUAUUUAAAGCGGUUGGUGCUGGGUAAUGAACGAAACGUUAAUGUGCAAAUCUGGGACGUGGCCGGGUCAGCCUUGACAGGCAAGAUGACGGAUAAGUAUCUGUACGGCGCCCACGCCAUCCUCUUCGUCUACGACGUGACCAACGGGAUCUCCCUGGACACCCUUCAGGAGUGGGUGGCGGCCGCCCGGAGAGCCGCCCGGGCCCAGGAGAGGCCGCCCAUCCUCGCCCUCGUGGCCAACAAAGCCGACAUGGAGCACGUGCGACAGGUGAAGAGCGAGCGUCAUCAUAGAUUCGCCAGCGAGAAUGUCAUGGGGUCCUACGUGGUGUCGGCCAAGACGGGCGAGGGCGUUGCGCUGUCAUUCCAGAAGGUCGUCGCGGAGCUGCUGGGAGUGCGCCUGACGAAGGCGGAGCAGGAGCAGCAGCAGCCGGUGGUAACGGCGGAAAUUGACACCUUCCAGGAAGCGGCUCUUGCCAAAGUGCCGCCCUUCGGCUCUACCUCCAUGUCCAGCGUCUGCAGCCUCAUGUAGCAGAAGUCUUCGCUUAUGUUUCUUGAAGCGCUUGGUGAGGGUCUUCGCGGAGGCUUCAGCAUUACUCCCAGUUCUAAAUGUUUUACGAAGCUUUCGUUGAACAAGUGAAUGUCCCCUAAGUGGCCGUUCAUGAAAAUAAGUGUAGCUCCUAUGGUGGAUAAGUGGCCUUCAGUCUUGUUUCGUUAAAUGUUUUAAGUCAAUGGAGUUCAGGAGGUCCUCGUUAGACGGUUUGCAAGGACGAGAUGUGGAUUCCAAUACCUUUGUCAGUGACUUCAGUUGCCAGCACAGGACGUUCGUUGUGGGCAUGAACUUGGACAUGGCUGUCACUCUCGUUGAUAAUUAAGACCUCGCGAGAGCGUUUUAAAGCUUGGGAUACGACGAGUAUUUCACUGCUCUUAAUGCCAUAUACUCUUUUCUUGAACGUCCUCUGGAGUUUAUCUUCAGUCCUCUGAUUAUUUAAAAAUUGCAGGACUUUGACGUGAAUCAAUAUGAUCUUUUAUAUUAGAUCAGCUUGAUGUUAAAUGUUUAAACUGAACUCAGCUGAACUGAGUGCUGCUGGAUCCAAUAUGUUAGAAUACUGGUAAAUGGUGACUUAUGUAAAUUAGAGACCACUACCGAGCGCUUUCUUACAUGUUAAUUAGAGAACAAAUAUUAAAAUUCCGAAUAUAUUUCUUUUCAAAUGUUAAUAAAUACAUUUUGCAGACUUGUGUAAUGUAGCCUAAAAGGACUCAAAAGCUGUGCACACUAAUUACAUACAAUAAUUACACUUCAUAGUUAAUAAUGAAGGUAACUGAAGCUUAAAAUUCGCACCACUUUGAAACAGAACAAAGAUGUGAAGCUUCGGCAGCUUAGAAAAAUCAAGCAGUAACAAGCACGUACAUUAAUAGUGACGAUGUGCAGAACAUUGUCAUUCAGCACCAAUAACAUUCUACAAAACAAUUGAAUAUUUCCGCUCAUAGUUACAAGUGAUUCCUUAAUUAUGGAGGAACUUAAUGGACUUAAUUAUGGACUCUAUGCUUCAGCAUGGAGUCCGAAUCUAGUCAAGCACGAGACUAAAUUAGAGAAGGUUCAGCAGAGACUAGUAUCCGAGCUGAGGGGUAUGAGCUAUGAGGAAAGACUACGGGAGCUUAACCUCACGUCGCUGGAAACAGAAGAGUUAGGAGAGACAUGAUCUUCACAUGUAAGAUUCUUAGAGGAAUUGAUAAAGUAGACUAAUACAGAGUAUUUAACACAGUUGAAUCACGCACAAGGGGACACAGGUGGAAACUGAGUAUCCAAAUAAGUCACAGAGGCGUUGAAAAACUUUUUUCUAGGGUAAUUAACAUAUGAAAUACACUAGGCAGUGAUGUGGUGGAGGCUGACUCUAUACACAGUUUCAAAUGUAGAUAUAAUAGAGCCCAGUAGGCUCAGGAUUCUGUACAUUAGUUGACUGACAGUUGAAAGGCGGGAUCAAAGAGCCCCUCAAGCAGAAUUAGGUGAGUACACGCAGUCCACGAAUCCGACUUCGAUUCCCGGCCCAGUCAGAAACAUUUGGGCAGAGUUUGUUUCGCCUGUGUUCACCUAGCAGUCAAUAGAUACCUGGGAGUUAGAUGUGAGCUGUGGGUGUGUGAGAGAAAUAUAUCUGGUAGAUGUGAUAGAGAAAAAUAGGCCGGGAGUUAAUACAUUAGACAUCUGAUGGUUAAAAAGGCGGGGUCCAAGAGCUAUCAGCUCGAUCCAGCAGCCACAAAUAGUAAAUAUAAAUGGUAAAUACACACCCUCAUAUAUGCACACACACACACACACACACACACACACACACACACACACACACACACACACACACACACACACACACACACACACACACACACACCACUGGCAAUAACAUUCAUAUACUUGGUCCACGAGUGACGACAAGGACAACACAGGUGACCCACGAGUGACGACAAGGACAGCACAGGUGACCCACGAGUGACGACAAGGACAACACAGGUGACCCACGAGUGACGACAAAGACAGCACAGGUGACCCACGAGUGACGACAAGGCCAGCACAGGUGACCCACGAGUGACGACAAAGACAGCACAGGUGACCCACGAGUGACGACAAGGACAGCACAGGUGACCCACGAGUGACGACAAAGACAGCACAGGUGACCCACGAGUGACGACAAGGACAGCACAGGUGACCCACGAGUGACGACAAAGACAGCACAGGUGACCCACGAGUGACGACAAAGACAGCACAGGUGACCCACGAGUGACGACAAAGACAGCACAGGUGACCCACGAGUGACGACAAGGACAGCACAGAUGACCCACGAGUGACGACAAGGACAACACAGGUGACCCACGAGUGACGACAAAGACAGCAGAGGUGACCCACGAGUGACGACAAGGACAACAGGUGACCCACGAGUGACGACAAGGACAGCACAGGUGACCCACGAGUGACGACAAGGACAGCACAGGUGACCCACGAGUGACGACAAAGACAGCACAGGUGACCCACGAGUGGCGACAAGGACAACAGGUGACCCACGAGUGACGACAAAGACAGCACAGGUGACCCACGAGUGGCGACAAGGACAACAGGUGACCGAGCAGUAAUACCAGACCAGUCUCACCCCGACGCCAGGUCCCAGAAGGACGCCCUCAUCUCGCCUCACAUUCUUCCCAAGAAACCUCCACGACGGACAGGGAAAUAAUCUGUUUGGUCGAGGCUUAAGGGAGCGUCCUCCAAGGCCCAACGCCUGAAUGAUACCAAUGAAGGCACGACUGUCUAAUAGUAUUCAAUAAAUUGUAAAUAAAGUU